rnacentral:lncRNA from 1 species
UAUAAUAAAGCUACUAUGACCAUUAGUUGCUAUUUCUAUAGGAAGGUGUAAUUGUCAUUUUACUUAUUCUAGAAGAAACGUCUCAAAAUAAAUCCAUAUAGGGAAAUUCGAACACAGGGAAAGACCAUGUAUAUGAGCUCCAAUUGUUAGGGUCACACAAUUAACGGCUAUUGCUGAAUGCUUACAAUACCGAAGAACAUUUAACUUUUUUUCCUACUGUUCACUCUC